AAGCGGCGCUGGUGGCUGAUGG
rnacentral:siRNA from 1 species